rnacentral:rRNA from 1 species
UCAGUCGACUCCUACGGGGAGGCAGCAGUGGGGAAUAUUGCACAAUGGGGGAAACCCUGAUGCAGCCAUGCCGCGUGUGUGAAGAAGGCCUUCGGGUUGUAAAGCACUUUCAGUAGGGAGGAAGGUAGUGUAGUUAACACCUGCAUUAUUUGACGUUACCUACAGAAGAAGCACCGGCUAACUCCGUGCCAGCAGCCGCGGUAAUACGGAGGGUGCGAGCGUUAAUCGGAAUUACUGGGCGUAAAGCGCAUGCAGGCGGCCUGUUAAGUCAGAUGUGAAAGACCCGGGGCUUAACCUCGGAAUUGCAUUUGUAAACUGGCAGGCUAGAGUCUUGUAGAGGGGGGUAGGAAUUUACAGGUGUAGCGGUGAAAUAGCGUAGAGAUCUGAAGGAAUACCAGUGGCGAAGGCGGCCCCCUCGGACAAAGACUGACGCUCAGAUGCGAAAGCGUGGGGAGCAAACAGGAUUAGAUACCCUGGUAG